UCGUACGACUCUUAGCGGUGGAUUGAAAUGAUGAUUCAGUUUAUCCAUUCGCUGAGUGCGCUGCACUGACCUCCUUCCAAGCCUCAGUUCCUGUUCUAGGAACUUGAGGCUAUGUAGCCUGCAAAUGCCCUGCAGUCUGCAGUGUUCUACUGUGAACUGCUUGUGUGUUGGCAGGCUACCGGUAAGAAUGGUUGGUGUCAGCAGGGAUGGGGCUCUCUGGGACCCAUCUCACAAAGAUGAGUGGUGAAAAUCUGAUC
rnacentral:snoRNA from 1 species